rnacentral:misc_RNA from 1 species
CUCCAGCGAUAUUGCUAUGAGAAUCGCCGGAAGAACCUGGGCCACCGUGGCGUAGAAUUCUUCAUUGUUCAUUAGUCAAUUCUCUCACCGUCCAGCAACGCGAUCCAAAUCGUCCACUAAGCACACUGUCCUGCCGCGAUCCGCGCGGGCGUCGC